ACUGAAAGUGAGUGCCAAGAACCUUGGGACUUAACUUAGGGACCUGCCAUUCACAGUCAGAUUGCAGCAGAACAGAAAGGGAGUGAAAAGCAGUCAAACAAGUGGUGACCAAAAAAUUUCCAAAACUGACCACAGCAACAGAAAAGACUGACCUACAGACAGAAGGUCAAGAAUGGACAAACCCCAAAUGACCUAGGCAAGCAGGGCAGUCGGAGGUAACUCCAAGCGGUCCCCGGGACCUGUGGCUUUAGGAGGUGCCUUUGGGCCGAUGCCAGCCACUCCAUCAAGCUACUCAAGAAGCAGAAAACAGCCGCCAUCUUGGCGCCGGUGGAGGCCUGCUGGGAACAGGACUUCUAAAAGCAAGUAUGUCUGGAAGGCUGCGGUGCAAGGCCACUUUCGCUGGCUACAAGCGAGGUCUCCGGAACCAAAGAGAGCACACGCUCUUCUUAAAAUCGAAGGCGUUUAUGCCCGAGAUGAAACUGAGUUCUACUUAGGCAAGAGAUGUGUAUAUGUGUAUAAAGCAAAAAACAAUACAGUGACUCCUGGAGGCAAACCAAACAAGACCAGAGUGAUCUGGGGACAAGUAACUCGGGCCCAUGGAAACAGUGGUAUGGUUCGCGCCAAAUUCCGAAGCAACCUUCCUGCAAAGGCCACUGGACACAGAGUCCGUGUGAUGCUGUACCCAUCCCAGAUUUAAACUAAUGGAGAGUAAAUAAAUAAAAGUAGAUUUGU